CUUCAGACGCCCUUGGGUUUCUUCCAGACGUCCGUUCGUUAUCUCUGACCCCUCAUCUCGAUUAUGCCUCUAAAGAGACGGUUGGGUGGCUAGAUUGGAAAGUCGUCGUCGCCGAUCCAAAUCAUCAGCGGCUAGGGCUCGAUUGAUCCCUGCAUCGAUUUAGGAUUUUUGUCUUCACCAACAUCAGACGAUUGAAUGAUGGAGCACGCUCUGCAUUUGGGAACAACUCAAAGUAUGCCAGAUGGAGUCCGAUCAAUGGCAUGGGACCUCUUUAUAUUGUUCCAGGUAAAUUUUUCUGCACAACUUUUUUUUUAAAAGAUAUAUAAUUUUAUAAAUAUUUUUUAAUUCCGCCUCGGGCUUACGCCUCGUGAAGCGAAGGGAAAACGCCUCGAAACUCGUUCCCGUUUUUUUAAACCUUGGUCAAAUGGAAGAUAACUCUAUAUGCCAAACAACAUCCAGUACGUGGGAUAGUGGAAAGCCUAUACGUUUGUAUAUCUAAUUAAUGGUUUUAUCUCUUCUGCGUAACACGACACUCAGAUGGAGUUCUGAACAAUACAAUGGUUAAGGACCUCUUAAAUAUACUUCCAUUUUUCAGUUGGAAUUAACCAUAUAGCACAUAAUGCUGAUCCAGUAAAAUGUCACUGGUUUAAAUACCCAGUAAGUUCUUCUGCACCAUUAUUUUUUCAUUUCUCUGUUUUGUAAUAGAGAAUGACACGUGUGCUAUUAAGGUUAUAUCGUUGGUAUUUUGCAGUGUGCUAUUCUAAUCUUGUUCUUUCUUUUAUCUCCUCUUUUGAAUAAACUCUUUAACUUCAGAAUUAACUUUAAUUAGAAAUUUUUGUAACUUUAUUUUUAUAAUUUUGUAAUUUAACUUUAUUGUUGGACUUUUGUAUUUUAACUAUAUUUGUAAGUAUUCAAAACAUUUGUGAUUGUGUUGUGCAAGACCAUUGCUUAAGUAGGUUAAUUACACUGUUGGGCUAAUAACUUCAGUUAUAGACAUUCGAGACUGAAUACUAUUCUAGUCCUUAUAGUAUGAAUGCUUACAAGACCAGUCCUUUAUGGUUUGACGAGUUGACUUGAUUUAAUAUAUAUAGGUUUUGGAGCUCUUGGAUCAUUGACAUCAAUCCUGAUGAACCAAUAUAUAAAUUGUUUUUUUUAUUCCUUGUGCAUGUAUCUAACUAGUAAGAGUCCUCGCGCGUUGCGGCGGGAAUGCAGUUGACAUCGGUUUGAUUCCUUACAAUACUAAUACGAUACCCAGCACUCGGUAUAGCAAUAGAAAGAGUCAUUAUGUACCCAAAAGGAUGGCGAUACGUGUUUUACAUCGAUCAAAAUUGUAAAAACGAAUAUUACUAACACUUCACAUUGUAUUGAUAACGAUACUAAUGUUGUUCGGACGAAAUCGCUAUGACACCAAUAUUGUUGAGACAGUAUUAGUUUGGUUGGUCACGGUUUU
rnacentral:lncRNA from 1 species